GAUUUCUGGUCUUGCGAGUUUGGCCCCCGGCUACGGUUGGUGUGUGCCGUUUCUCGCUUACCAUCCUUCUGGGGAGGGUCUCACAUCACUUUAAUGUGUUUGGGUCACGUAACCAGAUCUUUUACUUUGAAAAAAUUAGAGUGUUUAAAGCAGGCUUGCGCUGUGAAUACAUUAGCAUGGAAUAAUAAUUUAGGACUUUUGCUCCCGUUUUGUUGGUUUAUUGGACGGAAGUAAUGAUUGAUAGGGAUAGUUGGGGGUGCUAGUAUUCAGCGGCCAGAGGUGAAAUUCUUGGAUUCGCUGAAGACUAACUUAUGCGAAAGCAUU
rnacentral:rRNA from 1 species